rnacentral:rRNA from 1 species
CAGAGGGUGCGAGCGUUGUUCGGAAUUAUUGGGCGUAAAGCGCUUGUAGGCGGCUUGUUAAGUUCCGUGUGAAAUCCCCAGGCUUAACCUGGGAAGUGCGCGGAAAACUGGCGAGCUUGAAUGCCGGAGAGGGUCGCGGAAUUCCCGGUGUAGAGGUGAAAUUCGUAGAUAUCGGGAGGAACACCAGUGGCGAAGGCGGCGACCUGGACGGACAUUGACGCUGAGACGCGAAAGCGUGGGGAGCAAACAGGAUUAGAUACCCUGGUAGUCCACGCUGUAAACGAUGGAUGCUAGCUGUGGUGGGUGUUGACCCCUGCCGUGGCGCAGCUAACGCAAUAAGCAUCCCGCCUGGGAAGUACGGCCGCAAGGCUAA